AAAGUGUUGGACAGAUUAUCCAAAUCCAGCAGGAAGAAAAUGAUCACCUCAGAUCUACUUUCGAAUGUGAUGGAAAACAGCAAAGGAGAGAUCCAUCAGAUUCGAUUUCACUCCAACAAAGAAUACAAAGGAUGGAAGACUUUCAGAAACAUGUCAAGCUCAUGUCCUAUCUGAAA